AGGUGACGUCAGCGGGCGGGCCUGGCCGAUGCGCCCCCGCGGCCGGGGUGGAAGACGACCAGGGGAAAAUACAGUCACUUUCCACUGGGAGCGAGGCAAGAGAAUGAUGAGAGGUGGGCUACCAGCAUGUAAGAGCCAGUGGCACGGACAGGGCUCAGCAGCCGCGAGAAAGGAGGCGCGCGUGGGAGGAUCGGUCUAACUUCGUCACGGACGCUACCAACUAGCGCUCGGAGGAGGGGGGACGCGUGUCAUCACUACCUUGCGCGCGGGGGAGAAGCUACCACUCACCUGGUGGGGGCAGUGGAGCGGAGGGCGGGUCUUACCACCCGGGGGAGAAAGGGACGCGCAGAAUCUACUUUACCAACCCUCCGGCUGGAUCUUGGAGGAAAGCCGCGACCACGCGUCCCGGGAAGGAAGCCAAAUGACUGGGCUACACUAGGACAGGGUCAGAGGUCUUGAGGGGCGGAUGGCGGUUUGGAGAGCCCUAGGCACUGCCCUGCUGGCACCCAGAUUCCUUGUGGGAACGGUGAUAAGGAGCAGAUUUACAGAUCAUAAGUGCAAGUGCGGCCGAGGAGGGAAAUCCAGGUGGGACAAGGAUGUUUGGAGGGAGGUCACAGGGCACGAAGUUGUGCCUGCAGCUGUUACCAUAGAAACCGGGGACCGGAUGUGGCGAUCUUAGGGUGCGACAGCCCCUCUGUCAGGCUUUCUGCCCCGAGAGCCCGCCGACUCUAUGACACACUGUGAGGAGCCGGUUGUGUUUUUUUCCCAGCCGGGGGGAAGCGAGCGACUUUUUCAAGCGUUCAUAGAAAUGCGAUAAAGGAAUGGUUUGGGAUUGCUGCCACGCCUGGCUAAGGCCGAGGGAGCCUGCUGAUGUGAGACGAGCCGCACAAAGGGUCCCCAGAGCCUUCCGGAAGUGAAAUGGCGGGAGCCCCAGCCUUCACUGUCCACUGCCCCCCCGGAAGCGGAAACAGAAUUCCAGCGUGCCCCUUCCUCACUGCUCUCCAAAUCCCGCUGCAGCCAUUGCCGCAACCACGAUGCCGAAACGAAAGAAGCAGACUCAGCAGCAGCAGCCUCCGCAUCAGCAGCCCCCACUGACAGAGCGGGAAGAGACUGGAGAUGAGGAGGAUGGGAGUCCCAUCGGACCACCCAGCCUUCUGGGUCCUCCCCCCAUGGCCAAUGGAAAGCCUGGUGAUCCCAAGUCAGCCCCACACUGGAAUCCACCCACAUGUCCACCAUCAGUAGAAUGGAUAAAUAAGGUGUUGUGUGUGCAUCCAAUGGGAUACUACACUGCAGUGAAAAUGAAGGCACUCCUGCUACAGGCAUCCUGGAUGAAUCUCAUAAACACGAUGUUGAGCAAAAGGACCAGACACAAAAGAAUGCAGACUCUCUUCACAGAGGUCCUCCGGGAUCAAGGGGACCAAUGAUCCCACCACUGCUGAGUCUCCCACCUCCUCCCCGGGGCAGAGGUCCACUUCGGGGAGGCCUAGGCCCCAGGUCUGGCCCAUAUGGUCGUGGUUGGUGGGGGGUCAAUGCUGAGCCUCCUUUUCCUGGACCAGGCCAUGGGGGUCCCUCCAGGGGAGGCUUUCACAAAGAGCAGAGAAAUCCUCGAAGGCUCAAAAGCUGGUCUCUUAUCAAGAAUACCUGCCCACCCAAGGAUGGACCCCAGGUUAUGGAAGACAAAUCCGACCGCCCCGUCUGCCGACACUUUGCCAAAAAAGGCCACUGUCGAUAUGAGGACCUCUGUGCCUUCUACCACCCUGGCGCCAAUGGACCUCCUCUGUGAGACUGUGCCUUCCCAUCCAGGCUGGAAGGAGCCCGCUGGCCUAGUGGCCGUGUACUUCCCUGUGGCCCUGUGGUGGCUACUGUGAGGCUGUUCCACCCAGCACCUCGGUCCAUGACGCCCACCCUCAUCGCCACCUCCGCCACUUGGGGUCGAGUCGUGUUCAUCACUGGUGCGCAGUUGCACUCUUUCUUCUGGUCCAGCCUCCAGAGACUCAUCUCCAGGACCCCAACUUUGCUCCAUAGAGCUGCCUCCUGGAUCCUCUUCCCCCUCCAACUGACUGCAGAACAGGAAACCUCUCUGGUGCUGUUUCUCGUGCAUCUGUCCACCCAGUUCCCGGUAUCGCCCUGGUUCCUGAGAGCCUUGGAGCAGUUUCCUACCAUUCCCUUCUUCUAGCUGCUUGUUUUCAGUCCUUUUUAUGUGACACCCCCUCCCCCCCGGUGUCGUCAGCUGCUCUGUGACAUUCACCGGGUCCUCUGACCUGGGGUCAAGUUUGGCUGACUGGUACAGAGUUACUCCCUGAGAGGCCACCUGCCCUGCUCUUGGAUUUCAUAGUUUCUCCGUCAGUAGCAUGAUCCCCACCGCAACGGUCUGUGAUCACUGUGCUUUGUGAAACUGUGCAUCCCCUCGUAACCUUUCUCAGUGUCCGUGGCAUUUCUGUGACCUCCCAACACUAGAGUAAGUUCUUCUGCCAAAAUGAGUGGGACCGUUGAUGCCCUCCAGACCUUCCCCACCUCCUAACACGGGACAAUUGUGACACCUUCCACAAGACUGCCUUGCCGCUCCUCCCCAGGUCCUGGUGUCAGUUUCUCUGGGUUGGACACAGGCCUGAGAGAUGUCCUGUAGAGCCCCAGAGGGGCCCACCCUGUCUCCUCUCCAGCCCGUUUUAGUUAGACGACAUCAUUGUGAGGCCACCAGCCCUUUCGUUUGAAUCCUGUGAAUCUCCACCUGGCCUGCCUAUGGGUAGGAUAUUGGACAGUACUGUCGCCGCCUCCGAGCCUUCUUUCCCUGCAUCCCUGGCACUGAUUGUUUUCUGUGAAAACAGCAGUGAACAGGUUCAGUUUUGAACUGGCCCUGAGGAAAUGGGUCAGGAGUUGUGUGGGCAAGAGGGAAGGAUGAGAGCCGUUGGAAAAUUGAGAUUGAAUUUUUUUUUCUUUUUAGCAUUUUUUUAUAUUAGUAAUAAACACACUGGAAACAAGCA